ACCGGGCUGGGGAGGGGGCUGGAGAUGUGGGCGAGGAAGGAAUGGGCUUCGGUGGACCCCCAGCGGCCACUGGGUGGGGGUGGGGAGAGGGGAGCGGGUCCCCCCUCCCGCCGCCCCCCAGCCCCGGGGAUGGACGAGCCCCGGACCGCACCGGCCCAUCGUUGUCGGCAAGGUGCCUCACUUCGGCAGAACAAACAGUCGCUGCUGGAUAUCCUGCUCACGUCCUUUCUCUGCAAGUUUCCCCUUUAACAGAGCCAGGCUGUGACAAGCAUCGCUUCCAUGCCGUUGAGGAAACUGAAGCACAGAGGUGAACGAUGGCGGCAGGAUGGACACACACCAUCCGAGGAUCCCUCCUGGACUUUUCUUGAAGAAACUCUGUCUGGGACGGUGCUUCUUCACUGAAGCUGGGAAGGGGAAGACUAAACACCAUCAACAUCCAAGACCCUGAGGAUUGCUGGCCUCUGCACCGGCAUCCUCUCGGCGCCUGCUACCCCGUCUUUUGCGGCUCCCAGCGCCCUCGGCGUCCUUCCCUGGGAGCCCACCACGCCGACCCCGGGAUCCCUCGCCGGCCUUCUUCCGCAUCACCGAGGAAUCUCCAUCCCGACCCGCCUUCCACCAACCCGGCAGGACGGACAGAGUCCCCACUCCCCUUUUUAUUUUCAGGCUCGGACGGCACCUGGAGAGUUUCUAAUACUCAACCGGUCUCGGCUACGGGAGGAAGAGUCAAGCAGCGGCCUACCCAUUCCGUUCCUAGCUUGGGCAGUGGC